rnacentral:rRNA from 1 species
UUCAGGACGAACGCUGGCGGCGUGCCUAAUACAUGCAAGUCGUACGCUUCUUUUUCCACCGGAGCUUGCUCCACCGGAAAAAGAGGAGUGGCGAACGGGUGAGUAACACGUGGGUAACCUGCCCAUCAGAAGGGGAUAACACUUGGAAACAGGUGCUAAUACCGUAUAACAAUCGAAACCGCAUGGUUUUGAUUUGAAAGGCGCUUUCGGGUGUCGCUGAUGGAUGGACCCGCGGUGCAUUAGCUAGUUGGUGAGGUAACGGCUCACCAAGGCCACGAUGCAUAGCCGACCUGAGAGGGUGAUCGGCCACAUUGGGACUGAGACACGGCCCAAACUCCUACGGGAGGCAGCAGUAGGGAAUCUUCGGCAAUGGACGAAAGUCUGACCGAGCAACGCCGCGUGAGUGAAGAAGGUUUUCGGAUCGUAAAACUCUGUUGUUAGAGAAGAACAAGGAUGAGAGUAACU